rnacentral:lncRNA from 10 species
CGCCGCCCCACCUUUCCUUUCUGUGCCCCACCCCAUCCUGCCUAAAAAGUUGCUUUCCAUGAGGGCUUGGUGCUGAGUGUGGCCCCCACAGGGAUGUCUGUGUGGUCACAGAGUACCUGUGGGAGGGCAAUUCUGACCCCAAGGUAGGAAGCAGUGAUCCGGUAAUUCCAGGCACCAAGGCAGAUAAAAAGACCAAGCCACAGCCUCCUCAAGAAGUUUGAAGUCUGCAUUGAACUCAUUAAUUUCCAGCUUUUGGCCGGGCGUGGUGGCUCAUGACUAUAAUUCCAGCACUUUAGGAGGCCAAGGUGGGCGGAUCACCUGAGGUCAGGAGUUUGUGACCAGCCUCACCUACAUGGUAAAGCCUCGUCUCUAUAAAAAUACAAAAAUUAGGCGGGCAUGGUGGUGGCCACCUGUUAUCCCAGAUUCUUGGGAGGCUGAGGCAUGAGAAUUGCUUGAACUUG